rnacentral:rRNA from 1 species
CAGUCGCCGCGGUAAUAUGUAGGGUGCAAGCGUUAAUCGGAAUUACUGGGCGUAAAGCGUGCGCAGGCGGUUAUAUAAGACAGAUGUGAAAUCCCCGGGCUCAACCUGGGAACUGCAUUUGUGACUGUAUAGCUAGAGUACGGCAGAGGGGGAUGGAAUUCCGCGUGUAGCAGUGAAAUGCGUAGAUAUGCGGAGGAACACCGAUGGCGAAGGCAAUCCCCUGGGCCUGUACUGACGCUCAUGCACGAAAGCGUGGGGAGCAAACAGGAUUAGAUACCCCUGUAGUCCCUGUCUCUUAUAC